rnacentral:rRNA from 1 species
CUCCGAAUACCCGGGAGUACUAGAUGGCAGACACACGGCGGAUGCUAACGUCCGUCGUGGAGAGGGCAACAACCCUGACCACCAGCUAAGGUCCCCAAGUUAUGGCUAAGUGGGAAAGGAUGUGAAGAUUCCAAAACAACCAGGAUGUUGGCUUAGAAGCAGCCAUCAUUUAAAGAAAGCGUAACAGCUCACUGGUCUAAACAAGGGUCUCCGCGCCGAAAAUGUAACGGGGCUAAAGCCAUACACCGAAAUCGCGGGCUCGCAAGAGCGGUAGCAGAGCGUUCCGCAAGUCAGUGAAGGGAUACCCGCGAGGGAUCCUGGAGAUACCGGAAGUGCGAAUGUUGACAUGAGUAACGAUAAAGGGAGUGAGAGACUCCCUCGCCGAAAGUCCAAGGGUUCCUGCUUAAAGUUAAUCUGAGCAGGGUUAGCCGGCCCCUAAGGCGAGGCCGAAAGGCGUAGUCGAUGGGAAGCAGGUUAAUAUUCCUGCACCCGGAGGUAGUGACGAAUGCCGUAAAUCGUCAUCCCUUAUCGGAUUGGGAUGGCGGUGAUGGUGUUCCGGGAAAUAGCUCCUCCGUACGGACCGUACCCGAAACCGACACAGGUGGACUGGUAGAGUAUACCAAGGCGCUUGAGAGAACUAUGUUGAAGGAACUCGGCAAAUUGCACGCGUAACUUCGGAAGAAGCGUGACCCUCAUUCACGCAAGUGGGUGAGGGUGGCACAGACCAGGGGGUAGCGACUGUUUAUCAAAAACACAGGGCUCUGCGA